rnacentral:rRNA from 1 species
UACAGAGGUCCCAAGCGUUGUUCGGAUUCACUGGGCGUAAAGGGCGCGUAGGCGGGCUGUCAAGUCUGGGGUGAAAUCCCGCGGCUCAACCGCGGAACUGCCUCAGAUACUGACGGUCUCGAGGGAGGUAGGGGCGAGCGGAACUGAUGGUGGAGCGGUGAAAUGCGUUGAUAUCAUCAGGAACUCCGGUGGCGAAGGCGGCUCGCUGGACCUCUUCUGACGCUGAGGCGCGAAAGCCAGGGGAGCAAACGGG